UACGUAGGGACCGAGCGUUGUCCGGAUUCAUUGGGCGUAAAGAGCUCGUAGGCGGCUGCUCAAGUCGAAUGUGAAAACUCGAGGCUCAACCUCGAGCCUGCAUUCGAUACUGGGCGGCUAGAGUCUGGUAGGGGGAUCUGGAAUUCCUGGUGUAGCGGUGGAAUGCGCAGAUAUCAGGAGGAGCACCAAUGGCGAAGGCAGCUCGCUGGGACGGUACUGACGCUGAGGCGCGAAAGCGUGGGGAGCAAACAGG
rnacentral:rRNA from 1 species